rnacentral:tRNA from 1 species
CGUGCUCUAGCUUAGCAAGAAAAGCACGAGCCUCAUAAGCUCGGAGUGCCUGGUGCAAGUCCAGGGGGCACGACCA